ensembl:lncRNA
CCUGUAUCAUGAUACGUAUCAUAUUGUGAAACUGUAGGCAAUACCCAGCUCUAACUUUAAAACAUCGUGGGCUGACAUAACUUACAAGGAACAGCUGAUGUUGAGGGGGGUUGCUGGGGAUGUUGCUGCUACAGUUGCUGCCUUUGCUGUCAUUGUUGAUGUUGCUGCUGAUACUGUUGGAGGUGGUCUGAGACUAUAGACAUUUCAACAUAAGAGAUAUAUUAGCUGAUUAAACAGUUGUUAUGUGACCAUGACAAGAUGUAAAGAUUGCUGACAGUGUUUGGUACUGGCUCAUUGUGACUGACCUGCUGUAGUGCUGCAGCUACUGCCAAGGCUGACUGCUACGAGAAAAUAAGAGGCAGAUGCUCACAGAGGCAGCUGCACACCAAGACAUGCAGCCUCUCAGCGGCUAUAGGCUGCCACUACAUUUUAGUCAACUUGGAUUAAGGACCCAAUUUGGAAAUGGCUUUACUGGCACAUCGUAUGUUCAUUGCACCGAGCUUUGAAGUGGAGCAGCAGACACGACGUGCACAAAACGGCACAAU